rnacentral:rRNA from 1 species
CACGUAGGGUGCGAGCGUUGUCCGGAAUUAUUGGGCGUAAAGAGCUCGUAGGCGGUGUGUCGCGUCGGCCGUGAAACCUGCAGCUUAACUGUGGGCUUGCGGUCGAUACGGGCAUCACUGGAGUUCGGCAGGGGAGACUGGAAUUCCCGGUGUAGUGGUGGAAUGCGUAGAUAUCGGGAGGAACACCAGUGGCGGAAGGCGGCUCUCUGGACCGGUUCUGACGCUCAGGCGCGAAAGCGUGGGGAGCGAUCCGG